CCCUUAGAUGUUCUGGGCUGCACGCGCGCUACACUGAAGCUAUCAACACGUUUUCCCUCCCUGAGAAGGGCGGGUAACCUUUUGAAUCAGCUUCGUGGUAGGGAUCGGGGCUUGCAAUUGUUCCCCGUGAACCAGGAAUUCCUAGUAGACGCGAGUCAUAAGCUCGCAUCGAUUAAGUCCCUGCCCUUUGUACACACCGCCCGUCGCUACUACCGAUUGAACGUUUUAGUGAGGCAUUUGGACCGACGCAUCUCAGUUUAACCGCUGGUUUGUGUUGGAAAGACUUCCAAACUUGAACGUUUAGAGGAAGUAAAAGUCGUAACA
rnacentral:rRNA from 1 species